rnacentral:rRNA from 1 species
AACGAACGCUGGCGGCAGGCUUAACACAUGCAAGUCGAACGCAUCCUUCGGGGUGCGUGGCAGACGGGUGAGUAACACGUGGGCAACCUGCCCUGUUGAUCGAGACAACCCGGGGAAACCCGGGCUAAUACCGAAUGUGGGGCCGUCUCAUGAGAGCCGUCACGAAAGGAAGCUGCGGCCUCCGGGCCAGGAUGGGCCCGCGGCCCAUUGGUGUGUUGGUGGGGUAAUGGCCUACCAAGGCAACGAGGGGUAGCUGGUCUGAGAGGACGAACAGCCACACUGGGACAGAGAUACGGACCAGACUCGUACGGGAGGCAGCAGUGGGGAAUAUUGCACAAUGGGCGCAAGCCUGAUGCAGCGACGCCGCGCGAGGGAUGACGGCCUUCGGGUUGUAAACCUCUUUCAGCAUCGACGAAGCGAAAGUGACGGUAGGUGCAGAAGAAGGACCGGCCAACUACGUGCCAGCCGCCGCAGUAA